GAGAAUUCGAUAAGAUAGUUUUGCUGGAGGGUACUGCGGAGAGAAUCAAUCACCCCAAAGUGCCUUUAACCCAGCCACUGUCUGUGCCAACAUUCACUCUUAUAUUCGUCAAAAGAUCUAUACGAUUUAAGAGUAUUUUACGAGACUAACUUUGUGGCCACCAGAAAAAUUAUUGCUAAGGGACGAUCUUCGAAGUUUAAGAAACGCACGCGCGCCACUUGAGAAACCCUCUCUCCCCCCCUACUCAGCGGGGGAGGGGCGGUCGUGAAAUUUUCAAGGUCCAAUUACCUGUCUGCAUUCGUAAGGUAAGGUUCUACACUAUUUACUCGCCUACGGUUCGAGAAUCUAGCGAUAGCUCCUAUUGAAAUCUCGCCACGAUUCGCAUGCCAAAUUUUUCAACGACGUAAUAAUAGAUAUCGAAAAAAGAAGGUUAUACGUGAGAGAAAUGAAUAUUCUGUUACGAUGUAUAAAUGAGAUGAGAGUAUAGCUUUUAUGUAUUUAUGAUUGAUAGUUUCUUUUUCUUGUUUCUCCGCCUUUUGGAGCACCGCGAAUUUCGUCAGGGAAGUCUAUUCGUCGAAUUUUAUUUUGCGCUGGUUUUAUUCACUUGUAUCCGCAGAUCUUUAUUGUACAUGUAUGUAGAAAAAAAAAUCGGGUAGCGACGAGAGAGCGUUUAUUAUUAUAUUAUUUUAUUACUAUUGUUAUUAUACAUUGCUAUUAUUAUUAUCGCUCCCGUAUCUAUUCAUGUUGUCAGGAUAGAAAAUACGAAUACGUAACGAUCCAACCCCGAAACUUUUGUAGACUCGGUCAAUACUCGUUAGAUCUGCCGAAACAAUCUUGUAUUCGCAUCUUGUAUAAUAAAUAGUGUUGUAAUAAUAAUAUAUAUAUACAUA